GAGUGAUCGAAAGAUGAAAAGCACUUUGAAAAGAGAGUCAAACAGCACGUGAAAUUGUUGAAAGGGAAGCGUUGGCCCCCAGACGCGCCCGGGAGGGCUCAGCCGGCACGUGUGCCGGUGUACUCUCUCCCGGGCGGGCCAGCAUCGGUUUGGGCGGUCGCUGAAAGGCCCCGGGAAUGUAGCACCCUCCGGGGUGCCUUAUAGCCCGGGGCGGCAUGCGGCCCGCCGGGACCGAGGCCCGCGCUUCGGCGAGGAUGCUGGCGUAAUGGGGGUUWWCGGC
rnacentral:rRNA from 1 species